UGGCUCAGAUGGUAAAGAAUCUGCCUGCAAUGCAGGAGACCCAGGUUCAAUCCCUGG
rfam:TPA: Bos taurus chromosome 7, whole genome shotgun sequence.